rnacentral:lncRNA from 1 species
CCAUACUUACUAAACUAAUUAGAACCAAACAAGCUUCUUUAACACUUAUCUCUUUUGCUAAGAGGAAUGACUGGGUAUAGUGCAGUAUUUAUCCCAAAAAAUUGUUGAUUUAAGGCAAGAAGGUUUUUUUACCAGAUUCAAUCCACCUUCGAGAUUCACCUUGUAAAUCAAAGACUUAAUGUACUUCUCCAAAGAACCAAUCCAUAUUGAGCAAGAGAAGAAAGGAGAGUCCAAAAUAACAAUAAGAUAAAUGAAUGAUAUGGAAAUAAUGCAUCCCUCAUCAAAUAACUAUAGAAUGAACGUAUUUAGUAUCAUGCUUCUUAUUACCAGGGAGCAACUUUCAAAUCUACAAGCAUGAUUCACAACAAGCCGGGAAUUAUGUAUUGUAAAGUAUUAAAAACUAAUGUUGUUCAUCGAUUUACAAUAUUACUUUGUCAUAAGGUUAUUUUGAAUUUCUUGUACAAAAAUACGGUUUAAGCAUCAAAAUCCGAGUUCAAACUAAUAACCACCAGAGUUCAAAGUUAGCAUAAAAAGGAUAUGUAAAAAGAUGAGUACAUUUUGGAGUUUAUGAGUUUCU